GAAGAACUCUACAAGAAAAAUCUAUAUUUAUAAGCAAAACUUUUUUUGGCUGAUCUGACACUGGACUAGGAUGUAAUUUUAGUUAAUAUAUGAGUUUAAGGUGCGUGUAUAUUUUGGUAAUUGGAUUUUCCGUUCUGAAACGGGUAUUGAAAAAAAAACUAGUGGCUAUUUGAUUUUUGUUUUAAAAUACAAAAAAAUAAAAUUGAAAUACAAUGCUUUUUUCUUUUUCAUGAUCAAAAGGGGAUAUACGAAAUUUUAAAAAUGCUUUGAUUUUCAUUUUAUAUUUAGAAUAACAAAAAAAUAAAAUCAGUAAGACACAGAAACGAAAAAAGAUCCGUUUUUUCAUUUUCUGAGACCGGAAGUGGUCAUCAGCUAGCGUGGAGUCAAACGACAACAAGAUUCUCAGAGGGCGGAGCCAGAGAGCAGUGAUCGGUCAGACCAUAGAAGACAGCGAGCUAGCGUAUCUAGUCUGCUAUAUAUAUCUAUGGUCGGCACGUGUGGUAUCGUCUCUGGCUGCUGUUGACCUUGUUUUUGGAGUAAAACACGGUGGAAGCUGAAUUAGUGAGGAUGACUCCUGCUCCUGUCAUCUCUAAGCUCCUCACACAUCUUUACCUGCACAUGAGGAAAAUCACUCCUGUAGAAUGCAGAUGUUCAGAGGGAGAUGAUGCCACAUCUGGUCCAGCUGAUGGAAGGUCUUGAAGUUCUCUGACUGGCCUCGACUGAAGAUGGUCGUCUCACUGGAUUUAAGAUGCACAAUGAGGGACGUCUGCAGUGACUGAGAAAGAGUCUCACCACAUCCUGACGUGAGGAAAAAGACUUUAUUGAAGACUACAAUGAGAAAAACUAUCAGACAGCAGACGGCUGCAUUCAAGAGAAGAAGACCAUCAAACAUCCACGUCAGCUGAUGGAGGUCCUAAGAGUCUCACUGAAGAACCAACCUACAGAGUGAAGACCUCAAAUCUGAUUGGACGGCCUCCUAUUCAGCCACGUGUGAACAAAUGCCUCUAAAUAAGACAAGUACAAGAUUCUUCAGAGCCGUUCUACCACGAGCCUGACAGGAAGAACUCCAACAGCUACUGAAUGUUCCUGUGGUUCCCUCAAGGCUACAGGAGGAGCCCUACGAGGACGAGCCGGUCCACCUGAUGGUGGCCAGUCGCUGCAGUUCAAAGCCAACACCGACUACGUGGACUUCUACUGGACCACACGGAGGCCUUCAAACCGGACCAACAAGUUCACCGACUCCCCGACUUGUGGGUCUGAGGACGCCGCCGAGCCUCGGCCCAGCCGGCCACCUGUCUGUGGGUGUUUGAGUGCUGAGAGGUUUGUGGAUGCAUGUGAACGUGUCUGUGUUGAAACAGCAGCUUUGGAC
ensembl:lncRNA